GCACGGAGUUCGCAUCGCUCCGGUUCGUUUUUUUACAGGUGGCAUCUUGCGUCAACAAUGUGGAAGAACGCUAGUGGCUUUCAAAAGCGAAAAAGGAAACGGCAAAAAGAGGCAGCCGAUGAAGCUAGGAAAUUCAAAAAACUAGACUCUUUUCUUUUUGGAGAACGCGCUGUUAACGAGGCCGACGAGCGGCGCCACUGCAGACAUCGAUGACCGGGACUCCGGGAACGAUCCUCUCCCGUCCUGUUCCGGGUCGGCUGCUGCCACCCGACAGCCGCAUCCGCCAGUCCCAGCGGCCGGUGUGCAGAGGCCGACGAGCGGCGCCGCUGCAGACAUCGAUGACCGGGACUCCGGGAACGGUCAGUAUAUUGGAUAGCUUGAUUGGCUACCUGUGUUACCUAACUUACCUGUCCGCUAUCGUCACAAUUCACAAACGGCUGUUUGAGCUAAUUAUUGUCUACUGAUCGCCAACUCUCCCUGGCAGAUCCUCUCCCGUCCUGUUCCGGGUCGGCUGCUGCCACCAGACAGCCGCAUCCGCCAGUCCCAGCGGCCGGUGUGCAGAGGCCGACGAGCGGCGCCGCUGCAGACAUCGAUGACCGGGACUCCGGGAACGGUCAGUAUAUUGGAUAGCUUGAUUGGCUACCUGUGUUACCUAACUUACCUG